CUUUCAGGCCCGCGGUCCCUACUUUGAAUAGCUCUAGAGUCUGAUUAAGGCGCCCACACUCGGAUCUCUGACCCGCACAAAUAGCCGACCGCCCACCCCCUCACGGGCUGGGCCGGGAGUCGGGGUUCAGGCCGAGAGGGGUGAAAGUCUCCCAGGACUUUUCACUGCGCGCUUGAGAGGGGGCGCGGUCCUCGCCGGCCCAGUCCCGACGGCGGGUCGAAGGUCACGGGCGGAGAGGCCCGAGCCGCGCAGCCCCGAGUCUCCGACCGCAGCUCAGGAUCCGGGCGCCGGGCUGCCGCGUGCUUGGCGGGCGCACGGAGCGCUCGGACCGCCGCACCCCGCGCCCCGCGCCGGGCCCACCCGCUCCCUGGAGACGCGAGCGCCAUCGGCCGCCCACGGACUUCUCUGAGCCUUUAGAGAGAAUGUAUCAUACGGCAUUUCCCAGGUUGUCCACAGAAACCCCCUCUCCUCCUCCCUAAACUUCAAGUAAGAAGCAAGCCUAGUGCCUUGGACCUUUAACAACCCUAGUCCUACAUUACAGCAAGGAAACAUCAUCCAGGAAGGACACUGUGUUCUGGAACCCAGGUCUCCAACCCCAGGAGGAAGGGGGAAGAAGGAAGAAACCGUACUUAGGUUGAUCAGAACCCAAAAAUCCAGUCAUCACUGGGUGCCCUUGACAGUCUUGCUUUGUUCUCCCCGGGAAGGUUUGGGGGUCUGUUCUGAGACAGCAAUCACCAACUAUGACCUGUUGGGUUUCGAGGCUGCUCCCUAGGAAUGUCCAUUCCUUGGGUACAUCAUCCAAGAACCAGAGAGUUGAGGAUUGUCAUCGACACCAUGAGGCCUAUGGGUACUUCUUACCCAUCCAAACGAGGUGGCAGGACAAUGACCAGUAUGGUCAGGUGAACAAUGCCGUGUACUACAGCUACUUUGACACUAUUGUCAGCCACUACCUGAUCAGAAUCGUGAGGAAGAAAUAUGGAUCUCUUCCCAACCGCUCUUCCCUCGACAAUAUGAAGAUGCAUCUUGGAAGGAGCUUCCAUCAGCUACAGGUCACACUCCCUGACUCUUAGGAGGGUUACGUGACAUGGCCCACACAAAGCACCAACUGGCACAGCGCCCGUGUGUAAUAAGGACUCAAUAGGUGGCGGCUAUUAUAAGAGGAAAGCUGUUGGAACUUCAGUCAUCAUGGCAGCAAGCAGGAGGAAGGCAGGAGGGACAGGUGGGCUGAAUUUCUAGGGGAAUGCACUUCCUCAAAGAGUCUUCCUGGGAGCCCCACACAGCACUUCUGUAUCCCUGUCGUUGGGCAACACUAAGUCUCAGGGCCACAGCAUCUGCAAGGGAGGCUGGAAAACGCAGUCAUUUAGCUGAGUGAUUGUCACCCAGGAUAACAUUGGGGUUAUUUUACCAAAGAAGGGAAGAAUGGGUGCUGGGUAGCAAUCAGUCUUAGCCAGGUAAGAUCAUAGUUUCUUUCAUAAAACCCGGGAUCGUAUUUGUAAUAAAGCGUGGGAUUAGCCGUAAAGCUGUAUGAUCAGCUUUUAAAAAAUAAUUAAAAAUAUAACUCCUAUUGUCUUUUUCUUUUUACAAAAGCAACACAAUUUUAUUGUUAGAAAAUUUUAAAUUGCAGAUGAGUGAAAAACUUAUAACAAAAAGGCACCGUGACUCUAUUAUAUAGUGAUAACUGCUUGUGAACAUCUUGGUAAAUAGCCUUCCAGAAAUUUUUGUUUUCAUUCACAUACAUAUAUUUUUAGUUUUAUUUUUUUCUUUUAUUUUUUAACAUGAGUUCACUUUUGAGAGACAGAGAGAGAC